rnacentral:rRNA from 1 species
GGGGAAUAUUGCACAAUGGGGGAAACCCUGAUGCAGCGACGCCGCGUGGAGGAAGAAGGUCUUCGGAUUGUAAACUCCUGUUGUUGAGGAAGAUAAUGACGGUACUCAACAAGGAAGUGACGGCUAACUACGUGCCAGCAGCCGCGGUAAAACGUAGGUCACAAGCGUUGUCCGGAAUUACUGGGUGUAAAGGGAGCGUAGACGGCGCAGCAAGUCUGAUGUGAAAGGCAGGGGCUUAACCCCUGGACUGCAUUGGAAACUGCUGUGCUUGAGUGCCGGAGGGGUAAGCGGAAUUCCUAGUGUAGCGGUGAAAUGCGUAGAUAUUAGGAGGAACACCAGUGGCGAAGGCGGCUUGCUGGGCUUUAACUGACGCUGAGGCUCGAAAGUGUGGGGAGCAAACAGGAUUAGAUACCCUGGUAGUCCACACUGUAAACGAUGAAUGCUAGGUGUAGGGGGUAUCGACCCCUUCUGUGCCGCAGUCAACACAAUAAGCAUUCCGCCUGGGGAGUACGGCCGCAAGGUUGAAACUCAAAGGAAUUGACGGGGGCCCGCACAAGCAGCGGAGCAUGUGGUUUAAUUCGACGCAACGCGAAGAACCUUACCAGGUCUUGACAUCCACUUAAACUUACAGAGAUGUAAGGUGUGCUUGCACAAAGUGAGACAGGUGGUGCAUGGUUGUCGUCAGCUCGUGUCGUGAGAUGUUGGGUUAAGUCCCGCAACGAGCGCAACCCUUAUCUUCAGUUACUAACGGGUAAGGCUGAGGACUCUGAAGAGACUGCCGGGGACAACUCGGAGGAAGGUGGGGACGACGUCAAAUCAUCAUGCCCCUUAUGACCUGGGCUACACACGUGCUACAAUGGCCACGACAGAGAGAAGCGAAAUCGCAAGGUAGAGCGGAACUCAAAAAAGUGGUCCCAGUUCGGAUUGUGGGCUGCAACCCGCCCACAUGAAGUCGGAGUUGCUAGUAAUCGCGGAUCAGCAUGCCGCGGUGAAUACGUUCCCG